rnacentral:lncRNA from 1 species
GUUUGAACUGGCAGUGUGUAGGCAACGCUUUCCGGGCGCUCCCAGCAGUGAUGUGCCACCCGCUUCAUGGACCCACCCUGAGAAGAAGUAAAGACACCUGAGCACACACAGCAUUCGGAGCAGAGCUGACUCCCGCCCCUUGACAAAGCGUCUGCUCGUUGGUCUUGUGCCCCAUUAACUGGGCGAUUAUUUACUAGUUUGCAGUAUUUUUAUGAUCAGUCCCAUAGAAUGAGAGUCCAUAAAACAAACACAGAUCACCUCCCAAAUUGGGGCCACAAAGCUGAUUCUUUCCAAUUAGUUCUUUAUCUGCAGUUUGAUUAGCUGUCGUUAGUGGGUAGAUUGGACUCGUUUGUGAUUUCAUUAUAAAAUCAUCUAAUUCAACAAAACCCUGCUAUUAUAAAGCUUGUCCAGUGCAAACUGAUGCGGCCAGUUCUCCCUAGAGGGCGGGGCUGGGGAGGUGGACUCUUGACCCGGGGUCCUAUUUCUUCCUUGACAGGAAGGCGGUGCUCCCCCCAGCCGAUGUGGCCUCCUCUGACCGCUCCGCCCUGCACCCACCGCUUCCUUCUGACGUCCCUCAAUCUCCCUCCCUUCCCUCUUUCUAGCCUCAUUCUGUCCUGACAGUUUUGACGUGGUGGGGGCUGAAGAGUCUCACUGCUGGAAUUUUGCAAAACAAGCUGGUGACCUUGAACAAGAUUCCUGAUGUUCUCCAAACCUCAUUUGUUCAUCCAUAAGAUGAGUGAAAAGUAAACUCCCUACCGGGGUGGUUGCUGGGAGAUUUAUCAUGCCACGUGGUGUGGUUCAAAGGACACUUUUGCAACGUUUUCCUUUUUAAACAUCUGGUAAUAAAUACCACAGGAACCCAGAGGAUCACUAGGAACCAUUUUGAACGUGUAUGCUCCAGGAAGCUGGAAAACCUAGAGAAAUAGAGACAUUCAUAGACACAUUCAACCUGCCAAAAUGGAAUCAAGGAGACACAGAAAACCUAAACAGGCGACAAAGAACAAAGGAAAGCCCAGGACCAGAUGGAUUCUCAGCUGAAUUCUACCAAAGCCUUAAAGAACUGACACCAGUGCUCCUCCAAUUAUUCUAUGAAAUAAAUAGAAAGAGGUGGAGCAUUCCACAGUCACUCCAUGAAGCCAGUGUCACUCUCCCACCCAAGCCAGAUAAGGACACACAAGAAAGAAACCACAGACCUACAUCCCUGUGAAUUUAGACACAGAAACCCUUAAUGUUAGCCAACCAUGUUCAACAGCAUGUUAGGAGACUGGGCACCAUGACCAAGUCGGAGCAAGGACGGUUGACCGACACAGAUCCGUGAGUGUAGCGCGCCGUACGGUAGAAUUAGGACAGAAUCACUUAGUUGCCUCAAUAGAUGCAGAGGAAGACUCUGACAAAAUUUAGCACCCCUCAUGAUACAACCACUAAUAAACUAGGGCUGGAAGGAACUCCUAACCUCAUAAAGGGCUACAUGUGAAAAGCCACAGCCAG